CAGUAGCCGCGGUAAUACGAAGGGUGCAAGCGUUAAUCGGAAUUACUGGGCGUAAAGCGUGCGUAGGCGGUUUGUUAAGUCUGUUGUGAAAUCCCCGGGCUCAACCUGGGAAUGGCAAUGGAUACUGGCAAGCUAGAGUGUGUCAGAGGAUGGUGGAAUUCCCGGUGUAGCGGUGAAAUGCGUAGAGAUCGGGAGGAACAUCAGUGGCGAAGGCGGCCAUCUGGAACAACACUGACGCUGAGGCACGAAAGCGUGGGGAGCAAACAGGAUUAGAUACCCCGGUAGUCCCUGUCUCUUAUAC
rnacentral:rRNA from 1 species